rnacentral:tRNA from 1 species
CCUGGUGGCUCAGAAGGUAAAGCAUCUGCCUGCAGUGCAGGAGACCCAGGUUCAAUCCCUGGGUCAGGA